rnacentral:rRNA from 1 species
GACGAACCGAGCGAACGUUAUUCGGAAUCACUGGGCUUAAAGGGUGCGUAGGCGGGCCCGUUAGUCAGGGGUGAAAUCCCACGGCCCAACCGUGGAAGUGCCUCUGAUACUGCGGGCCUAGAGGGGAACAGGGGCAUGCGGAACUUCUGGUGGAGCGGUGAAAUGCGUAGAUAUCGGAAGGAACACCGGUGGCGAAAGCGGCGUGCUGGAUUCCUACUGACGCUGAGGCACGAAAGCCAGGGGAGCAAACGGG